GUAGCUGGUCUGAGAGGAUGGCCAGCCACACUGGAACUGAGACACGGUCCAGACUCCUACGGGAGGCAGCAGUGGGGAAUAUUGGACAAUGGGGGCAACCCUGAUCCAGCAAUGCCGCGUGUGUGAAGAAGGCCUGAGGGUUGUAAAGCACUUUCAGUGGGGAGGAGGGUUGAUAGGUUAAGAGCUARUUAAUUGGACGUUACCCACAGAAGAAGCACCGGCUAACUCCGUGCCAGCAGCCGCGGUAAUACGGAGGGUGCGAGCGUUAAUCGGAAUUACUGGGCGUAAAGGGUGCGUAGGUGGUUGAWUAAGUUAUCUGUGAAAUCCCUGGGCUYAACCUGGGCAGGWCAGAUAAWACUGKUUGACUCGAGUAUGG
rnacentral:rRNA from 1 species